UUCCUUCAGUAGCACAUAUGAAAAAACUAGAAUGAUACAGAAACGAUUAACAUGGCCACUGUGUAAGGAUGAUAUGCAAAUCUGUGAAGCAAUUCAUAUUUUA
rfam:Erinaceus europaeus unplaced genomic scaffold scaffold00964, whole genome shotgun sequence